UACAGAGGGGGCAAGCGUUGUUCGGAAUUACUGGGCGUAAAGGGCGCGUAGGCAGCCUUCUAAGUCGAACGUGAAAUCCCUGGGCUCAACCCAGGAACUGCGUCCGAUACUGAAAGGCUUGAAUCCGGGAGAGGGAUGCGGAAUUCCAGGUGUAGCGGUGAAAUGCGUAGAUAUCAAGAGGAACACCUGAGGUGAAGACGGGUUGCUGGGCUGACACUGACGCUGAGGCGCGAAAGCCAGGGGAGCAAACGGG
rnacentral:rRNA from 1 species